rnacentral:rRNA from 1 species
ACGGAAGGCAGCAGUGGGGAAUAUUGGACAAUGGGGGAAACCCUGAUCCAGCGACGCCGCGUGAGUGAAGAAGUAUUUCGGUAUGUAAAGCUCUAUCAGCAAGGAAGAAAAUGACGGUACUUGACUAAGAAGCUCCGGCUAAAUACGUGCCAGCAGCCGCGGUAGUACGUAUGGAGCAAGCGUUAUCCGGAUUUACUGGGUGUAAAGGGAGCGUAGACGGCUUUGCAAGUCUGAAGUGAAAGCCCGGGGCUCAACCCCGGAACUGCUUUGGAAACUGUAGAGCUAGAGUACAGGAGAGGUAAGCGGAAUUCCUAGUGUAGCGGUGAAAUGCGUAGAUAUUAGGAGGAACACCAGUGGCGAAGGCGGCUUACUGGACUGUAACUGACGUUGAGGCUCGAAAGCGUGGGGAGCAAACAGGAUUAGAUACCCUGGUA